UUCUGGGUGUUACAAACUUCGUGUAAAGCGUAAUAUACCAUGUUCAGGGUGUAAAUAUUCCAUUUGGUAAUUUUCUGUACAAUAUUCAUAACACUCAUUUCAAACCGCAAAUUUUCUUUCUGAUCAUGGAAUAUUUCGCAAAGUGAAGAGCAAUGGUCACGAGCGUAACUUUCGGUAAAUGCAAAAAUCUUAAAAAUACUUUUAAUUUAUUGGGACUAAUAACUACUUUUUAGCCACAAAUCUUAUAUACUUAUUAUGUGAAAGUUAUUGUCUUCUGAUUUUAUUAAAGUUGCAUUGGUUAAGUCGUUAGACAGAGAGUGAGUUGCGAGGUUGGCGAUUUAUCGAGAAAUCCGUUACAAUGUAAAUAUUCAAAGAUAGCGCAGGGUUCCAAUGCAAGUACUGCUAACUUGUUUCAAAAACUGGUGUUCGAUUCACUUUUCUCCAACGCUUGGCGAAUCGAAUACAGCUAAUAUUAGCCUUCAUUGGGGAAUCGCUUUAGGAAAUUGUUUUCAAAAAGUCGAAAUCAAUUAUAAAGAUAUGUUUUUUUUUUCUGCCACGUUGAAUUUCGCUUAGUAUUUUAUUUUGUUCUUUUUCGCACGAAUAUAACAUUUCCUUAGUAAUAUAAUUUCCUAAGUGUUAGUCAUAAACUCAAUGAUCACAAAGACUGUUUCACAGCCUACGCAAUCGAUACUUUCGAGCUGUAGGAUGGUUGCGAAUUUCAUCACUGGCAGAAAUGUAGGCAGAAAGGCAAAAUUAAUACACGAAUGCAAUAGGCGGUUAUUACGCACAUAUUUAAAACCAAUAUGACGAAGCACAUGUCGUGAUCUUUCUUUAUUUUUAUAUACAGUAAAGCAUGAGCAAUUUUGUAAAUUUUUUGUUGGUAGCCUUGGUAAGUAUUUAUUAUUAGUAGUAUAUUUAAAACUCAAAAUAAUGAGUAUUCUGAUGACUAAUCAUCUAACAAUAUUUUUGCAAAUGCUGCCCAAGCUUUUCCCAUUAGUUAAAAUGGAGUUAUAAAAGAAAUAAGCCAAUGCAACAGUGACGAAUAAUUCAGGAGAUUAAUUUUUGAAAAAUUUUGUUUAUAUGCAAAUGCUUACAUACAUAUGUAUGUGUAAAAUUUCUGAUGGCUUAAGUUUACACAAUAAUUGAAUAAAAGCUUACGUAUACAUGUUGAAACAUUUUUAUGAAUACUGCAAAAAUAUUUAUUCCGGGUUAACCUUUCAUCUAUCAGUGGCUACCUUUUAUAGCCCUUGUUUUAUAGUCAGUGAUAAAUUUUGACGUUUUCGUCUGUAUAUACAAAUGUUCGUAUGCUUGUGUGUACAUUAUUUAUUUAUUUGCUUCUGAUUUCACAGAUAAUAAAAAGCUUCGGGGUUAAUGACAUCAAUAUUCGGUCGUUAGCACAUCGAUUCAAUUUAUGGACAAAGAAAUCAGGAAAAGAUGUGGAAAUGUUUUUGAGAUUUGCAAAUUGCUUACAUUCGAACAAAUACAAAAGGAAACAAGUGUCAUACAAAAUUAGUUGCUUAACGUUUAACAGAAUAGCAUAUUUUAAAAUUUGCAGUAGCCAUGCAAUACAAGACAUAUCAUGUGCGUGAAAUUUCAAGACCCUAGCUCAAUAAUUACGCUUGAUAUCCUAAUUUUCGCAGUGGCGGAAAGGGAGCGUGGCGAUACCAUAACAUAAACUUGAGAUGUGUGUUCUACAGAGACCUGGAACGAAGUUAGCAAAAACCUUCAUGAGAAAUCUGUGAUUCAACAAUGAGUUUCUUUUUUCUGCUCAAAAAUAAUAAUUAUUUAUGAUUUAUUGUAAAAUUAAUCAAAAUUAAUCAUUAUCGAUGAAGAAAAUAAUAAAAAUCAGAAAUUAAAAAA